rnacentral:rRNA from 1 species
CCUUGUACACACCGCCCGUCACACCAUGGGAGUUGGUUUUACCCGAAGGCGCUGUGCUAACCGCAAGGAGGCAGGCGACCACGGUAGGGUCAGCGACUGGGGUGAAGUCGUAACAAGGUACCC